rnacentral:ncRNA from 1 species
GCAAAAAAGCGCCGGUACCUGCCAGGCAGACGGCAGGCAGACGAGGUUGGGGAGCAUCGAAAUGUUCGGCGGAUGCCCCACGGCAGGCAUGUCGUAAGCAAGUCUUUAAAAACGCAGAGUAAUCUGCCAACAAAGAGGC